rnacentral:rRNA from 1 species
UGCGCAGGCGGAUUGUUAAGCAAGAUGUGAAAUCCCCGGGCUUAACCUGGGAAUGGCAUUUUGAACUGGCAGUCUAGAGUGUGUCAGAGGGGGGUGGAAUUCCACGUGUAGCAGUGAAAUGCGUAGAUAUGUGGAGGAACACCAAUGGCGAAGGCAGCCCCCUGGGAUAACACUGACGCUCAUGUACGAAAGCGUGGGUAGCAAACAGGAUUAGAUACCCUGGUAGUCCACGCCCUAAACGAUGUCAACUGGUUGUUGGGGGAGUGAAAUCCCUUAGUAACGAAGCUAACGCGUGAAGUUGACCGCCUGGGGAGUACGGUCGCAAGAUUAAA